AGCCCUGAGGUGAUUUUCACAUUGGAUUGCAAAUCCAAAGGAGCAGCCUAAUUGCCUGCCGGGGCUU
rnacentral:tRNA from 1 species